GGCGGCAUAGCCAAGUGGUAAGGCAGCGGUCUGCAAAACCGCAAUUCGUCAGUUCGACUCUGACUGCCGCCUCCA
rnacentral:tRNA from 1 species